GCAAUCAAUUAGCGCUGGUCUCCUAGGAGACCGCAUGCCCCACCCUCUGGGUUAAAGAAAAGGACUCAGGGAGGUAAAAAUGCAUUUCUAUGGAACCUGGGAAUUCUCCUGAGCCCCUUUUUAUGGAUUCGAUGCAUCAAGCAGAGUAUCACUUAUCCGAUACACAUAUCGGUCUUCUCGGAUUGUUAAGUACAUUCUAGGAUGGAGAUCACCACAGAUCCCUGCAGACAAGGAUGGAGACACCACAGAUCCCCAUAGACAAGGAUGGAGACACCACAGAUUCCUGCAGACAAGGAUGGAGACACCACAGAUCCCCAUAGACAAGGAUGGAGACCACCACAGAUUCCUGCAGACAAGGAGCAAAAUAUGAGGUUACCAAGAGGAGCUGUUAUCGCAUCUUGGUAGUUGUGACUGGUGACCAGCUACUUCAAGUUCCUGUGGCCUCGACCUCCCUGUCAUGACGGACUGUACCUUGAACUGCGAGCUAAAAUAAACUCUUAGGUUGCUUUCA